GAGCCAGGAACUGGAACCUGGACAAACACCCCAAAAUGAGCCACCCCAAAGCUUUCAGCAGUUAGAUAGCAGUUUGAGGACUCCUCAUUAAAUGUCUUUCAAGACCUAACUAGGGCAAUGCUGCAGUGGCAUACCUCGAAUAGGUGAUAAAAAAAAUAACAAAGCCACCUGAACAACCUCACUGUUUCCCACAAGCGACUGACGCUCCUCAAGGUAGCUCAGGGCGCAUAAGAGCGGAGAAAAUAAAAUGGUGCUUUUUUCCUG